AUUGAACGCUGGCGGCAUGCCUUACACAUGCAAGUCGAACGGCAGCGCGGACUUCGGUCUGGCGGCGAGUGGCGAACGGGUGAGUAAUGUAUCGGAACGUACCUUUCAGUGGGGGAUAACGUAGCGAAAGCUACGCUAAUACCGCAUAUUCUGUGAGCAGGAAAGCAGGGGAUCGCAAGACCUUGCGCUGAUUGAGCGGCCGAUAUCAGAGUAGCUAGUUGGUGAGGUAAAGGCUCACCAAGGCGACGAUCUGUAGCGGGUCUGAGAGGAUGAUCCGCCACACUGGAACUGAGACACGGUCCAGACUCCUACGGUAGGCAGCAGUGGGGAAUUUUGGACAAUGGGGGCAACCCUGAUCCAGCCAUGCCGCGUGAGUGAAGAAGGCCUUCGGGUUGUAAAGCUCUUUCGGCCGGGAAGAAAUCGUACGGGUUAAUACCCUGUGCGGAUGACGGUACCGGCAUAAGAAGCACCGGCUAACUACGUGCCAGCAGCCGCCGUAACAC
rnacentral:rRNA from 1 species